GGGUCUACUUCAGCGUCGUACCCUACAUGAGCUUCUAUACUCCAGGUAUGGUCCUAGCCCUUCCUUCUGGUCUGUUAUCCUGCGAUUUCUUUACAGCAUUUAUAUGUUCGCUUAAUUGGUUGGUUUAUGGUUUGCGAACAAUUGCUCAUAAUUUAAGUAAUGUGUGUUGGUUUGAUUUAUGUAUGUGCUAGUAUAUGACAUUGGAAAACAGAACAUGAUUUUUGUUAUGAGAUUCAACUUGUUAAGGAGCACAACCAAGCACUAGUGGAAUUGCAAAAUAUGCUGUCAAAUCUGUUGAUGUAGUAUUACCCUGUUACCUUGCUUCAGAUUUUCUUGAAAAAAAUAACAGUUUGUUAUUUUCUGGCAUAGCAGAAGUUCACACCUCAACGUAGUCUUGUAACACUUGUAAUGAGUACAAGCACUUAGUUCUUCAAUGUAGGAUGCUAGUUGGACAGUUACUUAUGAGUUUUUAUGCAUGGUAUCUUUUCUGAUCGUGGCACAUUGUUACCGUGGAAGUCACUACAAUCAAUUGGGGCUGUCUCGUUGAAUCCACCCUGAUCGUACUGUCAGAAUUCUGUACUUCAGUUUAUUGUGUCAGGCAUAUUAGAGUACUGCUUGGUCUAUGCUCGAUUCAGUUACUUGGAACUACAAUGUUUACUCUAUGUUGUUUCUCUUUCCUGAAAUUUAAUAUAACUCUAUUACAGUAUUAUUGUUGCCUCCAAAAGUGCUAUCAAGUAUCAGCACCAAACCUUUUGGACAUACAAUUGGAGAUACUAGUAGCCGAGUCCUAAUUUGUGUUAAUUUUUUUAUUUUGGAGUUAAGUCUGGUUGUUCUUCUGCUAUUAUAUAGAUCAGCCCAUGGGAAGCCCAAUUGCAUCACUAGCCCUUAAAUUUCUACUUUUCGCUAGAGCCAUUGAUUGGUCAAAUACUUUUCUUUUCUUGAAUGCUUAGAAGAACUGCACAUCAUUGUACUACAGACGGAAUAAGAAUGUCCAUACGAUGGGAAGGGGAAGGAAAUAGAGAACAGAAAAACACUACUCCAAGCCUGUCAUAACAGGGAACACCGAGAUAAAACAAAAAUACUACUGACUACAAAAAUGUGAAGUUUGAUGUAAUCGAUGAAGAGUGAAGUGGGCGCUAGCUGUUUGCUAAAUACUACUACAACAACCUCAUACAUAUCUGUUGUGUUGCAUUUUCUUUACUGUAUCUGUGUCUGCUUAGUUUGUUUGUUCUGGUUUGUGAACAGCUUCAACAAACUCAAACUGUAAUUAUUUACUCCCUCUGUCCCAAAAUAAGUGUCGUGGCUUUAGUUAAAUUUGUUGAACUUAUUUUUGGACGGAGGGAGUAGUUGUUAUCUUCACAUGUAGAGAUUGCCGCAAACUGAAUACAUGUCCAUCGGAAACUGACCUUAAUUUGAAUUCUGUGAUUUCAAUUGUUAUUAUGGACCGCAUUGGUAAAAAAUACAAAUAUGCAUGCAAACUUUUAAAUCUCAUAUGAUGUUCUUACUUUGUUUCAGAUAAUCUUUUCAGAACUAUUCUAUUGUUAUUCUGGUAUAUCUGAAGCUCACAUCUGGAGAUCAUUUUCUAUUAUUUUGUGAAGCAUUUUUUGAUCUCGUAUUAUGCUGUACUUGUAUAUAGCAAAUCAAACUGCAAAUGCUGACUUCGAAUGUUGGUUUUGAUUUUUGUGCAUAAUAACUUCUCAGAUCGUGGUAGAUUUCCAUCCCUGGCGGAGAUAACUGAUGUCUGAUAUGCGCCGCUCAAGAGCAAGAGUGCAAGACCUUGCGAAAUGGAUGAAGCCAUUAUCAUAAAUGUACUGCUGGUGGCUUCUUGCAGAGCUACCGCUAUCAAAUCCUUUUUAUUUUCUGUUGAGUAGGCAAAGCAUGACUGUUGCAAGUAAUUAUGACCAAAACCAAGGAUGCAUAAUUUGAA
rnacentral:lncRNA from 1 species